rnacentral:rRNA from 1 species
UACGUAGGGUGCGAGCGUUAUCCGGAAUUAUUGGGCGUAAAGAGCUCGUAGGCGGUCUGUCGCGUCUGCUGUGAAAUCCCGAGGCUCAACCUCGGGCCUGCAGUGGGUACGGGCAGACUAGAGUGCGGUAGGGGAGAUUGGAAUUCCUGGUGUAGCGGUGGAAUGCGCAGAUAUCAGGAGGAACACCGAUGGCGAAGGCAGAUCUCUGGGCCGUAACUGACGCUGAGGAGCGAAAGCGUGGGGAGCGAACAGG